rnacentral:rRNA from 1 species
CCCGCUGAACUUAAGCAUAUCAAUAAGCGCAGGAAAAGAAACCAACAGGGAUUGCCUCAGUAACGGCGAGUGAAGCGGCAACAGCUCAAAUUUGAAAUCUGGCCUCUCGGGGUCCGAGUUGUAAUUUGUAGAGGAUGUUUUGGGUACCGCCCCGGUUUAAAUUUCUUGGAACAGAAUGUCAAAGAGGGUGAGAAUCCCGUCUUGGACCGGCGGUAGAGCCUAUGUAAAACUCCUUCGACGAGUCGAGUUGUUUGGGAAUGCAGCUCAAAUAGGGUGGUAAAUUCCAUCUAAAGCUAAAUACAGGCGAGAGACCGAUAGCGAACAAGUACCGUGAGGGAAAGAUGAAAAGAACUUUGGAAAGAGAGUUAAACAGUACGUGAAAUUGCUGAAAGGGAAACGCUUGAUGUCAGUCGCGUCGGCCGGGGAUCAGCCUUGCUUAACCGCUCGGCGUACUUCCUGGCAGACGGGUCAGCAUCAGUUUCGACCGUCGGAGAAUGGCUCGGGGAAUGUGGCACUCUUUCGGGAGUGUGUUAUAGACUCGAGUCGAAUGCGACGGUCGGGACUGAGGAACUCAGCACGACCUUAGGGUUCGGGACUUCGGUCCACGUUUGCGUGCUUAGGAUGCUGGCAUAAUGGCCUUAAGCGACCCGUCUUGAAACACGG